UCUCAGCAUGGAAAAAGGAAAAGAACAUUCAUCUACCAUAAGACCAUCUACCUCAAAUCCCCCAUCUGUGGACAUACCAUCAAGUUCUCCAAACAUCCCAAUGCACGGUUACUAUCGACCCUCAUCCGCGGAUAUACCAUCAACUUCUCCAAACAUCCC